rnacentral:piRNA from 1 species
UCCUACUUUACUCUUGUUUGCAUCAUAGCAG